GCCACAUGAUGAUAUCAAGGCUGUGGUGAUUCAGUUGGUUUGGCUAAGCCCGGGAGCCUCUGACCUAUGAAGGUCUGUAAUCUUGGUGGGCAAUACAGAGUUAUGUGUGUUCACUGUAAGGGCAUACCAACAAGAACUUCUUCCUACUUUUGAAUCGCCUCUACUCUUUAAUAGAGGUGAUUCUUCCAGUUGCCAGGGAAAAAUUAUGGUAACUGGAGUGAGAGAGUAGGGACAGGGUGUGUUCAGGGUAGCUGGGUCAGGGGUCCCAAAGGACUUAGCUUGUGUUGUGGCCACUGAGAGAUGAAACACAGAUCUUUGGUAAUCUGAUGGCU